GCAUUCUAUUAGGUUGGUGCAAAAGUAAUUGCGGUUUUUGCCAUUACUUUCAAUAGCAAAAACCGCAAUUACUUUUGCACCAACCUAAUACU
ensembl:miRNA